rnacentral:misc_RNA from 1 species
GUGAAUCAUCGAAUUUUUGAACGCACAUUGCACUCUCUUCUGAGAGUAUGCGUGUUCGAGUGUCAGCCUAAAAAAAAUCGACGUAGUCGCUGUUUCGCGGUGACAUUCGUCGGAAAUUGGGACAUCUUACAUCUUUGGGUUUUUUAAGCGGCUUAAACUUUUCUUUACGCUUACACGACCGUUUCUUAGAUUUUACUUAUUACACACGUUUAAG